rnacentral:rRNA from 1 species
CCCUUAGAUGUUCUGGGCCGCACGCGCGCUACACUGAUGCAUUCAACGAGUCUAAAACCUGCUCUGAUAGGGGUGGGUAAUCUUUUGAAUGUGCAUCGUGAUUGGGAUAGAUGAUUGCAAUUUUUCAUCUUCAACGAGGAAUGCCUAGUAAACGCAAGUCAUCAGCUUGCAUUGAUUACGUCCCUGCCCUUUGUACACACCGCCCGUCGCUCCUACCGAUUGAAUGAUCCGAUGAAUAUCAUGGAUUGAGGAUGUAAGCAGGUUCGCCUGUCUUCAUCUUCGAGAAGUGAAGUAAAUCUUAUCAUUUAGAGGAAGGAGAGGUCGUAACA